rnacentral:rRNA from 1 species
UACGGAGGGUGCGAGCGUUGAUCGGAAUCACUGGGCGUAAAGGGCGUGUAGGCGGUCCGUUAAGUCUGAUGUGAAAGCCCGGGGCUCACCCCCGGAAGGGCAUUGGAAACUGGCGGACUCGAGUCCCGGAGAGGAGAGUGGAAUUCCUGGUGUAGCGGUGAAAUGCGUAGAUAUCAGGAGGAACACCGGUGGCGAAGGCGGCUCUCUGGACGGUGACUGACGCUAAGACGCGAAAGCGUGGGGAGCAAACAGG